rnacentral:sRNA from 1 species
UGGAUGGAAGGCCCUCACUUCUGCCUGUUGGAUUCAAUACACCUAAAGGCCUACACCUGGUUCUCGGUACUGUGGCAGCAUGGGCGCCAUCAGAGAAAAGCAGGGGAAAGUGUCACUUCAAGGUUCCUAUUGGGAAGCUGCACCUUGAGAAGCUGCCGAGAAGAUUGAUGAUGAACAUCACUGGAAACUCCACAUGUUCACCAGAUGGGUUUAGUCAGUUGCUGUCCCUUCCUAGGAAGAGGCAGCAAAGACAUCUUCUGGCCAUAUGGCCUUAUGGUAAAGAGGGUUGUGAAGCCUGGCAGUAGGACCAGAUGAUACCAGAACGAGGUGGGAAGAGCCCCACUUCCAGGAUAGCUUUAGUCCCUAUAGUUCUUUGAUCUAGCCUUUAUCCUUAACUUGGAAGGAGGGACAAAAAAAAAAAAAAACCCACAAAACAAAUAAACCCAACCUCAUGACCUCAUAUUUGUGGCUAUUGGAACCAACCACUGUGUUGUGAUCACGGUGUGGAAUUCAGAGUCAGCAGUUCUGAGUACUGGCACAAGGCAAGAAGGUCAUGGAAUGUUAUCUGGCUCUUGAUUUUCUAACUCUUAUAUUGUGGAGAGUUCUUGGGGCCACAUCUAGAAAUUUGGCAAGAAUUUGACAUUGGGCAAGGACAGGAAAGUCGGCUCAAGAUGAGUACAGCUGAGGACUGUGUUCAUUGUAUCUUGAUGGGUCUUGUUAGGACUCUGAAUACAGUAAUCGUGGGACCUUUGUUUAUGCUUUGUUUGUUUGUAAACUACUUUGUUUAUGCCAUAGGACUGACCACAUUCUUUGUAUGUACCUAGAAUGAUAGAAAAGCAGACUGG